rnacentral:rRNA from 1 species
GUGCCAGCCGCCGCGGGAAUUCCAGCUCCAAUAGCGUAUAUUAAAAUUGUCGAGGGGGAAAAGCUCGUAGUUGAACCUUGGGCCUGGCUGGCCGGUCCGCCUCACCGCGUGCACUGGUCCGGCCGGGCCUUUCCCUCUGUGGAACCCCAUACCCUUCACUGGGCGUGGCGGGGAAACAGGACAUUUACUUUGAAAAAAUUAGAGUGCUCCAGGCAGGCCUAUGCUCGAAUACAUUAGCAUGGAAUAAUAAAAUAGGACGCGCGGUUCUAUUUUGUUGGUUUAUAGGACCGCCGUUAUGAUUAAUAGGGGCAGUCGGGGGGCAUCAGUAUUCAACUGUUAGAGGGAAAAUCUUGGAUCACUUGAAGACUAACUACUGCGAAAGCUUUUUGGCAAGGAUUAUUUUUCAUUAAUCCGGGAACGGAAAGUUGAGGGGGGUCGAAGAAGGAGUUAGGUACAGGACGAAGA